rnacentral:rRNA from 1 species
AACGAACGCUGGCGGCGCGCCUAAUACAUGCAAGUCGAGCGAGAAGACGUAGCAAUACGUUUGUAAAGCGGCGAACGGGUGAGGAAUACAUGGGUAACCUACCCUAGAGUGGGGAAUAACUAGCCGAAAGGUUAGCUAAUACCGCGUACGCUCCUUGGACUUCGGUUCAGGGAGGAAAGCGAUACCGAGGGUAUCGCGCUCUUGGAUGGGCUCAUGUCCUAUCAGCUUGUUGGNGAGGUAACGGCUCACCAAGGCUUCGACGGGUAGCUGGUCUGAGAGGACGAUCAGCCACACUGGCACUGCGACACGGGCCAGACUCCUACGGGAGGCAGCAGUAAGGAAUAUUGCGCAAUGGGCGAAAGCCUGACGCAGCGACGCCGCGUGGGGGAUGAAGGUCUUCGGAUUGUAAACCCCUUUCGGGAGGGAAGAUGGAACGAGCAAUCGUUCGGACGGUACCUCCAGAAGCAGCCACGGCUAACUUCGUGCCAGCAGCCGCU